CCUGACUAAUUUGCAAGAGGCCUUUGUUGCUGUCCCAGGUAAUUUUUAAGAAGACAGUAUGAAUUUAACUGCAAUUUAUAUUCUUCUCCCUGUUGCAUAUUUAUGUGGCUCUUGGCUUCUCCAGUAAUAUAUAUAGGCUUUAAUAUCUGAGGCAACUAGGGAUCAUUUCAGUCAGUGUAAACAGAACAAAGCUGAGUUGUAUUCAGCAUUAGUGUAGACUGUCAAGAUUAAGUGAAGAUGUAACUUUAUGCUAGACUGUGUUUGCUUUAUAUAAGAUUUCUGUCCUAAACUCUAGUUGUUUUUCAGGGAAACCCACUUUUAUUUCCUUUAUAGUGUGGGGUCAGUAGGGGAAGAUCUUGAGCAAUAAAUGCCCCUGUGGGCUGGGUGAGUUGCUGAGUUUGUGUAUACAGACAUGUUGCAAAGUGGAUCCAUUGAUAUAUGUGGCACCUGAGCUAUGGAGUCUACUGGAAUCUUGUUCUAGUGGCAGUUAUAGAUUGCACAAUCUUCUUAAUUUGAUAUACCCUUCUAUUCGUAUUUGUAGGGUAGUUGACCUUUUAGUUUGCACAUUUUGUGGUAAAGCAGUGGUAAAAUACAAAUAAAGAUCAUCAAACUCCGUGUUUUAUACCAAGGAAUUUCACAGUCACGGAUGUAUCAUCAAAUGACAUGGUCUUCAAAUUCUAUUAGUUUCACUUGAUUUAUUAUGAAUUUCAUUGGUUUUAGGGAUCACAGAUAAUUUAAGAAACUAGCUCUUUGUACAUCCGUCUUCUCUUUUUGUUAUCUUCAGAAAUGAUUUCUGCAGUUGUAAGUGCGCAUCUGUUGCAUACCAGCGGCUGGUCUUUCAUUUUUAGUGGACUAGUCCAUUUCUAAAUCCAGACGUCAAGUAAGGAUUUUUAAGAUGUAAGGUCAUGUUUCAAAUGCUUAUUAAAACAUUCCAAAUGAUACUGAAGUGGCAUUCACUAUUUUUAUGGCAUUUGGGAUAAUCUACUGAUUCUAAGGCACACUUUCUGUCAAGUAAGCAAUUACAUUGUCUGAUUAAUAAGUGCAUGUGCACCAUUCAUUUUGGUUAUAAAUUACAUAUUGACUUGUUCUUAUCCAUUUCUUGUUAGUAAGAAAGAAAUUUUUGGUAUGUCUUGUUAGAACUGUCAUCUGCAAUUUAAAACAAAAUUGUUUAUGUAUUUUGUUUUGUAUCAGCUAGGAACCCUGUGUGUUUUUUCUUCAGUAAUUGAAAUUACAGAAGGCAUGUUUUUCCUUAAAAAAUUAAUUUUUGAAAGUUACCCCUAGGGGUAUGCAGCUGGCAUUUUUUCACAUAAAUCCCUAAACGGCCCUGGUUUCUGGGCAUGGAAGAUUUAGAUGCCGAGUCGUCUGUGAGCUAAGAUACCAGUUAGUCUAGUCAACAUGGUUUAAGCAUAGCUGGCAACUAAGUAAGUACCGUGCAGCUGCUCCCUCACUCCCCACCUGCCAGAUGAAACCGGGACACUUACAGGCCAGUAUCUUCAGUGAAAAUUUACACUAAAAUUAUACCCAAUUCCAAAAUAUGAUCUUUUUCUGGUGUCACAUUUCCUUAGUGAAGAAUUUCUUUCUGUGUACCAGUUGGCAGGCUGCAUUCAAAAUUUGCAUUGUUUUUUUUUUUUUUUUUCAAUUUCCUUUUAAUCUCUUCUGUGUAUUCACUUUUUUUUCUGUGUGUGUAUAUGGAGUGGUAUUAGUCUUUCUUUCCAAUCAAAGCCUAUGGCAUUUAUUUAGUAGAUUAAAUAAAGAAGUUCUGUUUGUGAUUGUCUUUAGUGUUUCUCUGACAUGUGUUUCGUAAACUUCAUCUUCUUCCCCCAUUCUUACACUUUUUUUCUCUUCAGUGCAAUGAAGUCUUGCUUUGAUAGUUUCAGAGGACAUACUAUUGCAGUCAACAUUUUUGAGACGUUUUUUAACAGUAAAGUAAUUUCCAUGAGCAAUGUUUGAAUAGCAGAUUCUGUGUGUUAAGAGGUCUUGGCACACUCAAGAAAAAGCCUAAAUAUUUUUGUCCUCAUGCUGGGGAUCUUAAAGUUUACCUAUGCACCACCUUCUUUUUCUUUGCUGGCAGCUCUUGCAGUGGUAUUUCCAAUUCCACAUGCUUUUAUAUUUUUCUCUACUCUUGUUCUAGUUGGUAUUUUUAAUAGUAUUUGGUUAAAUUAUUUUUAAUUAUCAAUUGGCAACUUUUAAUCAGGUUUUUUGUUACUAAUUGGAGGGAAGUGUUGAUAGCUUAUCAUGAUAAAUUCUACUUUGUAUUCUGUAGGUAUCAGGAUUGCUGUUCAACUUCUGAAGGGACUGUGGUUAUGUUAAGUGAUAAGCUAUAUGCUCUGUUAAGGGAAUUUCAAUAUAUUUGAUAAAUGUGAUAGAUGUAUAUGACUACUUUUAAACGUAAAGCAAAACAUAAGGAAACGGACUUAAAGUAUCUCCUCUACACUGUUAUAAUUUAUAUGAAAUCUCUUAAGUGGAAAAAUAGGUAGAAAAGACAAGAUUCAUAUGUAAACUUAAACAUCUUAAGUGUUGAAGUUUUCAAAGUUAUCAAAUGCAUUAUUGCUCUUGCUGAAGGCUAUUUACACACACAGCAGGAAAGGUAAGAUUUUGUGAUCUUAUUUGCACAUAUUUGGAAGUCUGACUUUACUAUAUUGGCAGUUUUUGUGUGUGAAGAAAAGUCAUUCUUGGAGGCAUAAAUCGGUAACCAACGGUUACUUUUAAAUGUUCAAAGCCCUUACUGUGCUGUUUGAUUCUGACCUGCUGUAGGAAAUUUUCAAGUUAGGUCUGUGUUCUGUUGUGGAUUUGAAUGUGAAAUUCUCUUGGUUCAUUGAAGGAACAAAAAAACCCACAUCACUGCAGGGGAGGCAGCACUGUAUUAGAAAUGUAAACCAAACCCAUGGUAUCAAAGAAUACUGCUGUAAAAUUUUUACAGCUGUUCUGAACUGUGGCUGUGAGUGCAAUUCUAUUUGUAUGUCAGAAAUAUUAUGCUGCAAGUAAUCAGCGCUUCCCUCCAUACAGGUUGCCUUAUAUACCAGUGCUAGAACUAUAUGCCGGACAUUGCUGCCAUUAAGCUAGGUGAUUCAGACUUAUGCGUUAACUAUUGUGCUAUGCUAUAGCUAGCUCUUAAAGGUAUGUUUAAAAAGGAUUACUGUGAGCUGUGUCCUAGCUCCUUAACAUUUGGCAGUAGCAGCCCUACUUUUUGCAUUUUUGCCAAGUAGUUUUACGGUGAGUGGAAACAUUACUUCAUUCUUUUCCGUUCUUGCUCCUGGUUUCUACAGUCACUUUGAUUCUGUGACUUUGGGAGCAUUGUUUUUAAUGUAGGUACUUGUAAUGCAAAAUCCUACAGCUGUUACAUUAAUGGCAGGGUUUUUUUUUUUUUUUUUUUUUUUUUUUUUUGUUUUUUUUUUUUUU